rnacentral:rRNA from 1 species
AACUAUGCCUGAGUAGGAUGAAGCCGGAGGAAACUCUGGUGGAGGUCCGAAGCGUUUUUGACGUGCAAAUCAAUCGUCAGACUUGGGUAUAGGGGCGAAAGACUAAUCGAACCAUCUAGUAGCUGGUUCCCUUCGAAGUUUCCCCCAGGAAAGCUGGUGCCAUGUUUGACAGUUUUAUCUGGUAAAGCGAAUGAUUAGAGGCAUUGGGGACGAAUUGUCCUCGACCUAUUCUCAAACUUUAAAUGGGUAAUGUACCGUUGUACUUCUUGAUAUUCAUGAGUGCUCGGUCAAAUGCAAUGGCGCCAAGUGGGCCAUUUUUGGUAAGCAGAACUGGCGAUGUGGGAUGAACCAAACGUUGAGCUAGGAUGCCCAAAGUGCUUCUCAUGAGAUACCAUGAAAGGUGUCAGUCGAUAUUGACAGCAGGACGGUGGCCGCAGAAGUAGGAAUCCGCUAAGGAGUGUGUAACAACUCACCUGCCGAAUCGACUGGUCCUGAAAAUGGAUGGCGCUGGAGACGUAUAUCCAUGCUCGACCGUCAAUGCCAACGAAAGCGAUUGCUAUAUGGCUUGACGUGUAGAAGGGCGAUUGCCGUGGCGUCGAAACUUGCACCGUGAGGUGGGGUAGAGCUGCGGCAUGUGCAGAUCUUGGUGGUAGUAGCAAGUAUUCAAAUGAGAGCAUUGAAGACUGAAGUGGAGUAAGGUUCCAUGUGAACAGCAUUUGGACAUGGAUCAGCCGAUCCUAAGAGAACGUGUAAGUUCGUGAUUAAGCGCGUCGCCUUGUGCGUCGCAAUCGAAAGGGAAUCGGGUUAAUAUUCCCGAGCCAGGAUACGGAAUGAGCCUGAUUAAUCGAAAGUACCUUGUGUGCUUUUGACUUCAGGCAAAAGCGGCAACGCCAACAAACCCAGAGAUUAACUAUGCGAAGUCCGGGGAAGAGUUUUCUCUUCUUUGUAAGGGAUGUUAUCCCUGGAAACAGAUUGUCUGGCGAUAGGGUACGCAUCCCGUAAUGCAACGCGAUUCCUGCGAUGUACCGUGCGCUUCGUAUAGUGCUUGAAAAUCUGGGAGCGAGUUUGUUCAGGCCGUACCUGUUCGUACUGAUUUCCGCAGCAGGUCUCCAAGGUGAGCAGCCUCUAGUCGAUGGGACAAAGUAGACAAGGGAAGUCGGCAAAUUAGAUCCGUAACUUCGGAAAAAGGAUUGGCUCUAAAGGCUGAGUUGGUCGGGCGGUUGYGUUAAGCUGGGAGCGAUGCUUUGACUCUGUCUCAGACUCCAUACUCGCAAGGGAUAUGUAAUCGGCGGCGGAGCUUAGUAUUUGCUCACUGUGGACCGCGGUCGCUAUGCCACCCAUGCGGUGUCAAAAUUCAUUUUCGAGCCGUGCGGUGUGGAUCCGAUCAGCGUUUAACAGCUGACCUAGAACUGGUAUGGACAAGGGGAAUCCAACUGUUUAAUUAAAACAAAGCAUUGCGAUAGCUGUAAUCGGUGUUGACGCGAUGUGAUUUCUGCCCAGUGCUCUGAAUGUUAAAGUGAAGGAACUCAUUAAAGCGCGAGUUAACGGCGGAAGUAACUAUGACUUUCUUAAGGUAGCCAAAUGCCUCGUCAUCUAAUUAGUGACGUGCAUGAAUGGAUUAUUGAGAUUCCUUCUGUCCCUGUCUGCAACCUAGCGAAACCACAGCCAAGGGAACGGGCUUGGAGAGUAACAGCGGGGAAAGAAGACCCUGUUGAGCUUGACUCUAGUCAGUCUUUGUGAAGAAACAUGAUGGGUGUAGAAUAGGUGGGAGGACGCGACAGUGAAAUACCACUACUAUCAUCGUUUCUUUACUUACUCAAUUGAUCAGGGAGCGUGAAUUCGCUAUUUGCGAUGUAUGAUUAUUCCUUCAGUGGAAUAAGUGUCUGGUUUGAGAACACAGACUGAUUGGGAGUUUGACUGGGGCGGUACAUCUGUUAAAAUCUAACGCAGGUGUCCUAAGGCAAUCUCAGCGUGGACAGAAACCUCGCAUAGAGCGAAAGGGCAAAAGAUUGCUUGAUCUUGAUUUUCAGUACGAAUAAAGACAAUGAAAGUUUGGCUUGUCGAUCCUUUUGAAUUUUACGAGUUUUAAGCAAGAGGUGUCAGAAAAGUUACCACAGGGAUAACUGGCU